GGAGUCUAGCAUGCACGCGAGUCAUUGGGACUUAGCGAAACCUAAAGGCGUAAUGAAAGUGAAGGCCCGCCUCGCGCGGGUCUAGGGAGGAUGGGCCGCGCACAGUCGCGGCCCCGCACUCCCGGGGCGUCUCGCUCUCAUUGCGAGAAGAGGCGCACCAAGAGCGUGCACGCUGGGACCCGAAAGAUGGUGAACUAUGCCUGGUCAGGACGAAGUCAGGGGAAACCCUGAUGGAGGUCCGUAGCGAUUCUGACGUGCAAAUCGAUCGUCGGAACUGGGUAUAGGGGCGAAAGACUAAUCGAACCAUCUAGUAGCUGGUUCCCUCCGAAGUUUCCCUCAGGAUAGCUGGCGCUCGCUUUUGCGAGUCUCAUCCGGUAAAGCGAAUGAUUAGAGGCAUUGGGGUCGAAACGGCCUCAACCUAUUCUCAAACUUUAAAUGGGUGAGAUCUCCGGCUUGCUUGAAAAGUGAAGCCGCGAGAUCGGAUCAGAGUGCCAAGUGGGCCAAUUUUGGUAAGCAGAACUGGCGCUGUGGGAUGAACCAAACGCAGAGUUAAAGCGCCUAAAUCGACGCUUAUGGGAUACCAUGAAAGGCGUUGGUAACUUAAGACAGCAGGACGGUGGCCAUGGAA
rnacentral:rRNA from 1 species